rnacentral:rRNA from 1 species
GACAGAGGUGCCAAGCGUUAGGCGGAAUCACUGGGCUUAAAGCGUGUGUAGGCGGAUCGUUAAGUACCUUGUGAAAUCCCACGGCUCAACCGUGGAACUGCUCGGUAUACUGGCGAUCUUGAGCCACCUAGGGGCAACUGGAACAAGCGGUGGAGCGGUGAAAUGCGUAGAUAUCAUUUGGAACGCCAAUGGUGAAAACAGGUAACUGGGAGUGUGCUGACGCUGAGACACGAAAGCCAGGGGAGCAAACGGG